rnacentral:rRNA from 1 species
AUUGAACGCUGGCGGAAUGCUUUACACAUGCAAGUCGAACGGCAGCACGGGAUCUUGCUCCUGGUGGCGAGUGGCGAACGGGUGAGUAAUGCGUCGGAACGUGCCGAGUAAUGGGGGAUAACGCAGCGAAAGUUGUGCUAAUACCGCAUACGCCCUGAGGGGGAAAGUGGGGGAUCGCAAGACCUCACGUUAUUCGAGCGGCCGACGUCUGAUCAGCUAGUUGGUGGGGUAAAGGCCUACCAAGGCGACGAUCAGUAGCGGGUCUGAGAGGAUGAUCCGCCACACUGGGACUGAGACACGGCCCAGACUCCUACGGGAGGCAGCAGUGGGGAAUUUUGGACAAUGGGGGCAACCCUGAUCCAGCCAUUCCGCGUGAGUGAAGAAGGCCUCGGUUGUAAGUACGUACUUCUAGCU